rnacentral:sRNA from 1 species
UUCCUGUAGUCAUAAUGCAGAACUCGGUGACACAAGGAAGAUAUUGUUAGCAGAGAGAAAAAAUGGUGACUAAUUGUGCUUGAGAAUGAAGAACAAGGAAAUUCGAUAAGAAUUGGUGGCCAAAGGACCCUACUAAAAUCAGAUGAAAAUUUUUUGUGGUCUAUCACUUUUCCAUUUUUUCUGAUCAUAAAUAUUUGCAUCUCUAAAGCCCAACAUCAGUGUGCAUUCAGCAGGGUCCACACAUCAGUGUGAUUUCUCAGUGUAGCUGUUGGAUUACCCAAUGUUGAAUUCCAUUGCUAAGAAGAAAAAGGGUUGUGA